GACGAACGCUGGCGGCGUGCUUAACACACGCAAGUCGAACGGAAAGGCCCUGCUUUUGUGGGGUGCUCGAGUGGCGAACGGGUGAGUAACACGUGAGUAACCUGCCCUUGACUUUGGGAUAACUUCAGGAAACUGGGGCUAAUACCGGAUAGGAGCUCCUGCUGCAUGGUGGGGGUUGGAAAGUUUCGGCGGUUGGGGAUGGACUCGCGGCUUAUCAGCUUGUUGGUGGGGUAGUGGCUUACCAAGGCUUUGACGGGUAGCCGGCCUGAGAGGGUGACCGGCCACAUUGGGACUGAGAUACGGCCCAGACUCCUACGGGAGGCAGCAGUGGGGAAUAUUGCACAAUGGGCGGAAGCCUGAUGCAGCAACGCCGCGUGCGGGAUGACGGCCUUCGGGUUGUAAACCGCUUUCGCCUGUGACGAAGCGUGAGUGACGGUAAUGGGUAAAGAAGCACCGGCUAACUACGUGCCAGCAGCCGCGGUGAUACGUAGGGUGCGAGCGUUGUCCGGAUUUAUUGGGCGUAAAGGGCUCGUAGGUGGUUGAUCGCGUCGGAAGUGUAAUCUUGGGGCUUAACCCUGAGCGUGCUUUCGAUACGGGUUGACUUGAGGAAGGUAGGGGAGAAUGGAAUUCCUGGUGGAGCGGUGGAAUGCGCAGAUAUCAGGAGGAACACCAGUGGCGAAGGCGGUUCUCUGGGCCUUUCCUGGCGCUGAGGAGCGAAAGCGUGGGGAGCGAACAGGCUUAGAUACCCUGGUAGUCCACGCUGUAAACGGUGGGUACUAGGUGUGGGGUCCAUUCCACGGGUUCCGUGCCGUAGCUAACGCUUUAAGUACCCCGCCUGGGGAGUACGGCCGCAAGGCUAAAACUCAAAGGAAUUGACGGGGCCCCGCACAAGCGGCGGAGCAUGCGGAUUAAUUCGAUGCAACGCGUAGAACCUUACCUGGGUUUGACAUGGAUCGGGAGUGCUCAGAGAUGGGUGUGCCUCUUUUGGGGUCGGUUCACAGGUGGUGCAUGGCUGUCGUCAGCUCGUGUCGUGAGAUGUUGGGUUAAGUCCCGCAACGAGCGCAACCCUUGUUCACUGUUGCCAGCACGUUAUGGUGGGGACUCAGUGGAGACCGCCGGGGUCAACUCGGAGGAAGGUGGGGAUGACGUCAAGUCAUCAUGCCCCUUAUGUCCAGGGCUUCACGCAUGCUACAAUGGCUGGUACAGAGAGUGGCGAGCCUGUGAGGGUGAGCGAAUCUCGGAAAGCCGGUCUCAGUUCGGAUUGGGGUCUGCAACUCGACCUCAUGAAGUCGGAGUCGCUAGUAAUCGCAGAUCAGCAACGCUGCGGUGAAUACGUUCCCGGGGCU
rnacentral:rRNA from 1 species